rnacentral:rRNA from 1 species
AGAGCGAACGCUGGCGGCAGGCCUAACACAUGCAAGUCGAGCGCCCCGCAAGGGGAGCGGCAGACGGGAGAGUAACACGUGGGAACGUACCCUUCAGUUCGGAACAACCCAGGGAAACUUGGGCUAAUACCGAAUACGUCCGUAAGGAGAAAGAUUUAUCGCUGAAGGAUCGGCCCGCGUCUGAUUAGCUUGUUGGUGAGGUAACGGCUCACCAAGGCGACGAUCAGUAGCUGGUCUGAGAGGAUGAUCAGCCUCACUGGGACUGAGACACGGCCCAGACUCCUACGGGAGGCAGCAGUGGGGAAUAUUGGACAAUGGGCGCAAGCCUGAUCCAGCCAUGCCGCGUGGGUGAUGAAGGCCCUAGGGUUGUAAAGCCCUUUCGGGCGGGAAGAUAAUGACGGUACCCGCAGAAGAAGCCCCGGCUAACGUUCGUGCCAGCAGCCGC